UAGGUUCUAUGUGACGACAGUGGUGGCUU
rnacentral:piRNA from 1 species